rnacentral:miRNA from 1 species
UCUUCCCUACUCCACCCAUUCC